AUUGAACGCUGGCGGCAUGCCUUACACAUGCAAGUCGAACGGCAUCGCGGGAAAGCUUGCUUUCCUGGCGGCGAGUGGCGAACGGGUGAGUAACACAUCGGAACGUACCGGCUAGUGGGGGAUAACCCGUCGAAAGACGGGCUAAUACCGCAUACGCUCUUCGGAGGAAAGCAGGGGACCUUUGGGCCUUGCGCUAGUCGAGCGGCCGAUGUCCGAUUAGCUAGUUGGUGGGGUAAAGGCCUACCAAGGCGACGAUCGGUAGCGGGUCUGAGAGGACGAUCAGCCACACUGGGACUGAGACACGGCCCAGACUCCUACGGGAGGCAGCAGUGGGGAAUCUUGGACAAUGGGGGCAACCCUGAUCCAGCAAUGCCGCGUGGGUGAAGAAGGCCUUCGGGUUGUAAAGCCCUUUCGGCAGGGAAGAAAUCGGCGGGGCGAAUAACCCUGCUGGAUGACGGUACCUGCAGAAGAAGCACCGGCUAACUACGUG
rnacentral:rRNA from 1 species